rnacentral:rRNA from 1 species
AACGAACGCUGGCGGCGUGGAUAAGACAUGCAAGUCGAACGGAACUACUUUUAGUAGCAAUACCGAGAGUAGUUUAGUGGCGAACGGGUGCGUAACACGUGGGCAAUCUGCCGAGAAGUGGGGGAUAGCUCGCCGAAAGGCGAAUUAAUACCGCAUGUGAUGAGAGGCGACAUCGUCUUGAAAUCAAAGCCGGGGCAACCUGGCGCUUUUUGAGGAGCCCGCGGCCUANCAGCUUGUUGGUGAGGUAACGGCUCACCAAGGCUUUGACGGGUAGCUGGUCUGAGAGGACGACCAGUCACACUGGAACUGAGACACGGUCCAGACACCUACGGGUGGCAGCAGUCGAGAAUUUUUCUCAAUGGGGAAACCCUGAAGGAGCGACGCCGCGUGGAGGAUGAAGGCUUUCGGGUU